rnacentral:lncRNA from 1 species
GAUUUUUCAGCUUUCAAUUACUGUUACUACUUUGCUGCUAAAUAUCAAUACUAUUGCGUUGCAGUUUUGGGCUAAAAUUUUAGUUCAGUUGGGUGCUAAUUUGGUCCUGUUGUUUUAUCAUUCCAGAAUAUGUAGAAGACAUGGAUUACUUUCAGUGGCAUCCAAAUCCAUCCUUGAAAUGCUCUUAAGUUCUUAAAUAACGCAUGGUAAUGUACUUAUGCUUUUCCUCCUGCAAAUUUGCAGCUAUCAAAUGAACCAAGACCAGCC